GACGAACGCUGGCGGCGUGCCUAAUACAUGCAAGUAGAACGCACAGUUUAUACCGUAGCUUGCUACACCAUAGACUGUGAGUUGCGAACGGGUGAGUAACGCGUAGGUAACCUGCCUGGUAGCGGGGGAUAACUAUUGGAAACGAUAGCUAAUACCGCAUAAUAUUAAUUAUUGCAUGAUAAUUAAUUGAAAGGUGCAAUUGCACCACUACCAGAUGGACCUGCGUUGUAUUAGCUAGUAGGUGAGGUAACGGCUCACCUAGGCGACGAUACAUAGCCGACCUGAAGGGGUGAUCGGCCACACUGGGACUGGGACACGGCCCAGACUCCUACGGGAGGCAGCAGUAGGGAAUCUUCGGCAAUGGACGAAAGUCUGACCGAGCAACGCCGCGUGAGUGAAGAAGGUUUUCGGAUCGUAAAGCUCUGUUGUAAGAGAAGAACGGGUGUGAGAGUGGAAAGUUCACACUGUGACGGUAUCUUACCAGAAAGGGACGGCUAACUACGUG
rnacentral:rRNA from 1 species